rnacentral:rRNA from 1 species
CCCUUAGAUGUUCUGGGCCGCACACGUGCUACACUGAGUAAAUCAAUGGGUAAGGGAACACGAAAGUGCAACCUAAUCUUCAAAUUUUCUCGUGAUGGGGAUCGACGGUUGCAAUUUUCCGUCGUGAACGAGGAAUACCUUGUAGGCGCGUGUCAUCAUCACGCGCCGAAUACGUCUCUGCACUUUGAACACACCGCCCGUCGCUCCUACCGAUUGGAUGAUCCGGUGAGCUAUUCGGACUUUCGCAUUGUCGAUUUUCGGCUUUACGAGGGAAAGUCUCGCGAACCUUAUCAUCUAGAGGAAGGAGAAGUCGUAACA